CCGAGAAAGUGCUCGCCCCACUACGGGGCAGAGUCCACGGGCAUGGGGUGGAUGCUGAGCCCAGGAACACAGGCCAUCUCGGCCUCCGCCCUGCCCCACCCCAGACCCCGUCCCCCAGAGGCCCUGCCCCACGCCCCGACCUCUAUUUCUCAGGCUCUGCUGCAGGACUUGCUCCUGUGCAGACACAGCCCAGGCGGUGGGCGGUGGGUCAGCACAGACCCCCGAGGCAUCGGCACCUGCUGCCAGGUGUGUCUGCUGUCCUGCCCUGGGCCAUCGUUCAGUCAUUCCUGGGCUGCGUUCCUCCCUAGAGCAUUUCAUGGGAGCAGCACGGGGCUGAGGGCGCUUCUCCAGGGAGGCCCAGGCUGCAGGCUGGUCCUGCACCUGGGGGGCAGAGGCCACCACAUCCACUGACCCCGCUGGGGCGGGCUUGUGCCCGCUGACACCCUCCCCAACUCCGGCACCACGAAAUGGUCACCAAAUGCAGUCUAGGAUGGCUUGGCACGGAAACCUCUGCCCGAGCAGGGUUGGGUCGGCCCUAGGUAUCCCCUCUGUGCGCCGCAGCCCAGGGCCCCGCAGGGAGGGCAGGGGGAGGCGGUGGUCAGCACUGGAACAGAAGCCAUGGUGGGAGGUGGAGCAGAGGACUGGACUGGAAGAGGAACAUGGAGCUGGGCGAGAGCGGGACCUGCUGGGUACAGACACGGGCAGGCGGCAGGAAACAGAUGGACACAGGUCACAUAGUCCUUUCAUUCCACCUGCCUGAGGCCUUGAGGCCAGAGGGGACCGGGGACGCCGCAGCGUGGACGGACUGGGAGGGGCUGCAUGGAGCAGCGACCCGCCAGGGUGCCAGAAAGCAUGAAACUUUGAUGUCUCAACAAGCUCAUCCACAAAGCCGAGGGGGAGAUGUGUCCAGUGCUGCAGCCCAGGGGAUUUGGGCCCGUGGGUCUCUGGAAGUUGAUAUUUUCUGCCAGACCAACUUCUUUGAUGUUGAUAUUCUAGAUGAAAAUAAUAAGAAGGAUAAAAAUAAGAAUAGCAGCUAAUCUUCACUGAACGCCCACCAUGUGCCGGGAACUGUCCUAUAUAUGCCUCGGUUGUCCACCGCCGUGUAACAAACCAUCCCAAGACAUCAUGACUUAAGGAAAGGUCAUCCGGAUCAGGGAUCUGUAAUCUGGGCAGGACUUGGAGGAGUCAACCUGUCUCUGCCCCCCGGUGUUAGCUGGGGCAGGUGGACUCCAGCUGGAGGACCCGCUUCCAAGAUGGUGCACCCGCAGGGCUGGAGAGGCGGGCCUGGCGGUGGGUGCCUCUCCACGCAGGCCUCUCUUUGGGCAGCUCGAGCUUCCACACGGCGUGCUGGGACCAGUGUGGACUAACCACCGAGCAACCACCAACCCUAAGGGGCAAGGGUAGAGGCUCCCGUCGGUCCUGAGGUCCGGGUGGGUGCCUGGCUCCUGGCUGAGGGCUCCAUAUGGUCACCUGGAAAUGUCCUCUGGGCUCUUGGCUCUGCCCUGUUCAUUCUGUCCACUUGCCUUCCUUUUCAGUCCAAACCAGAUAUGUCCCCACUAGAAACAUCUCACAAAACAUUGUAGGCUUCCUGUCAAUUCUACUGGGGCCGCCCAUGGGUGUGUGGUCACACUCACAAAUCCCGGAGACAGGACCCUCUGCCUCUGGCCCCUGUAAGGCUCAGAGGCACCGAUGCCUUCAAGGGCCUGGAGGCCCCUGUUCAGCAGGACCUUGGUGGGGGGGCUCUGUGAGGCACCCCGAAGCCCGUUGGAGGCCGUGACAGUCCCCGUCUCACCCUGAUUGAGCACAGUCUGAGGGUCAGGAAGAGCGGACGGACGGACAGAGAGCCAGCUGUACUCCUGCCCCAGCCCUUCGUUCACUGCUCCGCCGCCCUGGAGCCGUGCAGUGCGCUCGCCUGUGCUCGGCCCUCCUGCAUUCACCACAGUGGCUGGAAGAGGAGAGUGGGACCCUGGCAGCGCUGCCUGGAAGCCUCCCGGACUGGCCCUCUGCGUCCAGCGGGCACUCACUUCCUACCCUGUGCUCGACUCCUGCCCCCUGCCUGCUAGGUCCUUCCCCGCCCAUGCCACCGCCUCGGGGCACCGCUUUGGGACGCUGUCCACUUCCGGGUACCAACCCGUCUCUGGUUGCCAUGGCUGCAUGAUGGCCACCCCAAAACUUAGGAAGCUAAAGUAACGGCCAUUUGUUCAGCUCUCAGAUCUGCAAUCUUGUGGAGAGGAAGGCCUGCGCUUGCCCCACGGGGCUUCAGCUGGGCAUCUUGGUGGGGCUUGAGGACCACAUCCCGAGGGGCCCUCCCUUGGGUCAGCCUCCCUCCACCAGGGCUUGAGCCUGGGCCUGCGUCAGCUUCUCACCCCUGGAGGCUGGGUUCUAAGUGCCAGUGUCCCGAGAGGGAAGAAGUUGUGUCACCUUCCACAUAAGGGGUCCCUUCUGCUGUGGUCACAGGCCCCCUGGAGUCAAGUAGGGGGACACAGACCCCAAGCCCCAUCAAGAGGGGGUCAGAGACCCACAGUAAGAACAGCAUAUGAGGUGGGAGAUGGCGUUGAGGGCAUCCGUGGAACAUACCACCCACACAAAUACUUUCUCGGCUCUCACCCCAGCUGAUGAAGCCAGCUCCACCGUCACUGUUCCUGCGCAGAUGGGCAUGCAGCCCAGUGAGCGUGGCGGAGAGCCUGGAGCCUCUGUCCUUGGCAAAGACACCUGUCACCUGAGUUGACUCCACAGACGAAAGUACGUGACAUCCUGGCAGCACCCUGGCCAGCACCCCAUCCAGCACCCCUGUCAGCAACCCCUGGUCAGCACCCUGGCUAGCACACCGGUCAGCACCCAGGCCAGCAACCACGGCCAAUACCCUGGCCAGUAUCCCGGUCAGCACCCCGGCCAGCACCCCUGUCAGCACCCCCUGGUCAACACCCUGGCCAGCACCCCAUCCAGCACCCCGUCAGCAUCCCCUGGUCAGCACCCUGGCUAGCACACCGCUCAAUACCCAGGUCAGCACCACCCCCCACACCCCGCCCCUCAGCACCCCAGCCAGCCCCCACCCCAACCAGCACCCCAGUCAGCACCCCAGCCAGCACCACCACUCAAUACCCAGGCCAGCACCACCACCACUCCCACCACCCCAUCCCCUCCCCCCUAUCAGUACCCCAGCCAACCCCCACCUCAGUCAGCACCCCGGCCAGCACCCUGGUCAAUACCCGGGCCAGCACCCUGGUGCCUGCUCAGCACCUUCCCAGGAACAAUGGAAGUAGCCCCUUCCGAAGAGCUCGUGCCUGGAGGCCGCUGGAGGGCCAGAGCAGAGGAAGAGCCUCCCACUGAGGGGGCCCUGGUGUUGGGGUGGAGGGGCCCCAGCAGGAGCCAGGCCCACGCCCCCCACCUGGCCUAGGUGCCUCCCUGGGCAGAGCCAGCCAGGUCUCAGGGACACCUGCUCCUCGGCCAAUGCACAGCCAGCCUCUGAUGGAUCUGCAGGUGACCGAGCUCUCAGCUGCUGGAGGAGCUGCCCCGUGCGGCUGGGCAUCCGGGGGCUGGACAUUCCCUCGAGGUGAGCGGCCUUGGGCUGGCCGUGACUCCUCAUCUUUCCAUCCUUGGAAAGGGCAGCUUCUUUCACAUCCUGUGUCCCGCAGGGGAUGGUUUCCAGGGAGGCCACUGGACGAGGGAAGAGUGAUGCCUGCCAACGUGACCCCGCGGAUGCCUGGUGCCUUCCAAUCAGAGCCCAACGGGGUCUUGGAGGUCCUGUCGUAGGGCAGACCUGUUCUCACCUCAGGGCCUUUGCAUGGGCUGUUCCCUCUGCCUGUCUGGCUUUCUCCAAGGACACACAGAAAGGGGGGUGUGUCCCCCAGCUGCUCUCAGGAUGUCCAUGUGUUGUUUGUACCCGAGUUCCCGCAUCUGUGUUGUAUAAGCCGUCUACCGUAAAACCUACGUUCCCAAUCAUUUCCUUUUGCAAAAAGAGCCCUUAUGUGGGGCAGGGCGCGCAGGUGUCAGCUCUUCAGAAAUGAUCCGACGGGGAGGCGACCGCCCCCACCCAGGGUGUGUCUGGGGGAGGAGUGACCCGCUGGGUCCCUCUGCUUGUGGGGUUCCGUGGCCACAGGUCCCUGCGAGCCCAGCAGACACCUGCACCGCCGCCCCCUUCAGCGGAUGCUCCCUGCGUGCACCUGGCGAUGGAGACGCGCAUGCAGAGGGGGUUUGCCAACCAAAGCGCACCUCGUUUAUCCCCUCAAAGAUCCUUCGGGGGGGGCGGCUGGGAAAGCUGUCUGGGUCCUGCCUGGAGCAGGCAUGGAUGUUGCCUUUGCUGCUCAUUUCGGGGAAACCAAAGCCCUGAACGAUGAAGGGCUUGUUUGUUGUUCCUCACUUGGUGGGAUGGAGCCAGGGAGCCCUCCCCUCCCAGCCACUGCCCCUCCCAUGUCUUCGGGAAGUGGCUUCCGUGGCUGCUCAGCUGCCAUGUUCACCCUCCCUGCCCUGCCCAGCGCGUGACCACGAGGGAGGAGGGCCAGGUGAGUGCUGCUCCUCCGCAGCAGCAGAAACGGGGAAGCCUGGUGCACCUCGGGCUCCCAGGGAGUGGGGAAGCGUCUCCUGCGCUGCUCCAUCUCCCGAGACCACCACACGCCCGCCGCAGGCAGCAGCUCGUGCAGGGGGAGCAUGAAAGAGCCAAGAGGCCGAGGGCUCCCGCCACCUUCCCUGGGCCUUCGUCCCACGCCUGCUGUUUCCCCUGAGGGGGAAUCUUUCGAAUUAAAGGUGUAAAUGUGCCUUUGCCUGGGCCUGGAGCUGGAUCGGCCCCGCGCCUGUGUCCUGAGGACGCCCACCACUCGGCCCGUCCCAGGGGAGGUCCGGCCAACUGUGGCCACUGGCCGCCUGCACCUGCCUGCGGCAGACCCUUUCCUCAGGGGUUCCGUCUUGGGAGCGAUCCGGGAGCCUGACCGAUACGAGAGACACGGAAUCCAAUGGUGACUUUUUUAAAAAGAGAUUUUUAUUUUAUUUAUUCAUGAGAGACACACAGAGAGAGAGAGAGAGAGAGAGGCAGAGACACAGGCAGAGGGAGAAGCAGGCUCCAUGCAGGGAGCCCGAGGUGGGACUUGAUCCCAGGACCCCAGGGUCAUGACCUGAGCCAAAGGCAGACGCUCCACUGCUGAGGCCCCAGGCGUCCCAUCCAAUAGUGGCUCGAUGAGGACGGUCCCCGGCGUGCGUGCAGAGCCGCAGGGACCAGCGGUCUGGGGGCCUCGGGCCGGAGGGCAGAGCGCAGGGAUGUCUCUCCCGUCCUCGUGGCUCCGCACGGCAUCCCUGCUGAACCUGCAAGCGUGAACAAGAGUCUUCUUGGUGCCGGGCGUGCCCUGCGGCCGGGCUGUGUCCAGCGCCACCUUCCCAGCAACACUGGCGGGCGACAGGCAGAGGUGCACCACCCGGCCACCCGGGCUGCGUGGGAUGAGGUGGGCACGGUGGCCCCACAAGCGGCACGUCAGCCCAUAACAGGUGUGAGCUGUUCCGAGCGGCCCCGGGGCCCCGGCUCACAGGUGGUCCUCUCCCCGCGGUGCCCACCCCCAGGGAUGGGGGAGGCUGCCCUCUACCAGGUGGACCCCGGAGUGAGCAACCCUGGAGUGAGCACAGGGCAAACCUGCUGCUGCCUUCAGGGAGCUCAUGUUAUAAUAGGAAGACAGACAGACAGACACGAAGACGUGAGUGGCACCAGGGCCUAGAGGAAGAGUGAGGCCGGGUAGGAGGGCAGAGCAGAGAGCAGAGGCGUGAGCUCUCCAGAUGACAGCUGAGCCCAGACGGAAAGGCAGAGAAGGGAUGGGUCACAGAGAGAUCUGGGGGACAGAGCGUUCCAAGAAGAGGGAGCAGUAGGUGCAAAAGUCCUGAGGCAGGAGUGUGACUGGUAUGUCCCAGGACUAAGGAGAGGCAGUGGGACCAGAGCCAUGGAACCUUGUAGGGUUUGAUCCAAAUUGAGGGGAAUGGAGGCCUCUGAGCGGGGCAGUGGCAUGGCCUGGGUUGGGUGCCAGGCUUG
rnacentral:lncRNA from 1 species